rfam:Absidia glauca strain CBS 101.48 genome assembly, contig: contig_3380
GGCUUUAUGGUGUAGUGGUAUCAUUCACGCUUUGGGUGCGUGAGGUCUCGGGUUCAAAUCCCGAUGGAGCCC